rnacentral:rRNA from 1 species
AAAUUGAAGAGUUUGAUCAUGGCUCAGAUUGAACGCUGGCGGCAGGCCUAACACAUGCAAGUCGAACGGUAACAGGAAGCGCUUGCUGCUUCGCUGACGAGUGGCGGACGGGUGAGUAAUGUCUGGGAAACUGCCUGAUGGAGGGG